UACGAAGGGGGCGAGCGUUGUUCGGAUUUACUGGGCAUAAAGGGCGCGUAGGCGGCCCUCCUUGUCGCGUGUGAAAGCCCCGGGCUCAACCUGGGAAUUGCGCGCGAAACGGGCGGGCUGGAGUUCGGGAGAGGAGCGUGGAAUUCCCAGUGUAGAGGUGAAAUUCGUAGAUAUUGGGAAGAACACCGGUGGCGAAGGCGGCGCUCUGGACCGAGACUGACGCUGAGGCGCGAAAGCGUGGGGAGCGAACAGG
rnacentral:rRNA from 1 species